UUUCCGUAGGUGAACCUGCGGAAGGAUCAUUCAUAAUAAGUGUUUUACUGCACUUUUUAAAAAUAGUACUCACCUUGUGUGCAAUGUCGUGUUUCUUUUCGGAGAAACACCUACACCAACCUAUAACCUUGAACCACUUUGUCUGAAAAACUAUUAUGAAUACUUAAUUCAAAAUACAACUUUCAACAACGGAUCUCUUGGCUCUC
rnacentral:misc_RNA from 1 species